GUACCCACCAGGAAGGCUGCUGGCUGCCCCUGCCCCCGGCCGGUCACGGCCAUGGCCACCGGCUGCAGCAGCCCCAGGACCACACGGCCUCAUCUUCCUGCUUCCUCUCCUCCUUUGUUACGUGUUCAUCACGGCCAGGAGUCUGGAGUGCAUCCGAGAUGUGGCCGUCUGACUGCUGCCCUGUGCAUCUUGCAGCCCAGUCGAGGGGUGGGGGGAUGUUGUUCACAUAGCAGAAGGCCUGCAGGGCAGGGGUGCAUGUGCUGGGGACCCUAGGCCGGGAGGGCUCUGUGGCUUAAGGCAUGGAAGCUCUCCCCUCUUCUUCCAUCCCCACGCCCAGGGCAGGUGACCAGGUGUCGCUGGGCUGCACCAGAGCUGUGUUCAUGGCUGAGGCCGGCGGCGUUAUGCUUGCAGCCAGUCUGGUGCCUCUUCAGACCCGGGCAGCACAGAAGGGGCCGUGGUUGGCCCCAGGAGAACUUCCUGGCGGAGGUGGUGUCUGAGCAAGAUUUUCAAGCCAGUCCAGUGUCCUGUGAUGGAAAUCUGUGGUCGGUACCUGGGAGGGUGGAAAAACACGGGGUGCUCCAGAUGUCGAAGGCCACCUUAGCUGGCUGGGUGGUGAAGCUCUUGGGAGGGGGCCCAGGUGCCUGGAGGCAGAGGCAGGCGCAGGAGAAGUUACCUGGGGUCAGCUCCCACCAGCCUUGCAGCGGUGGGACUUGGAAGACCACUGUCUGGCCUUUAGUAACGGCGCCCGUUCACCCAGCUGUGCGCUCUUCCAAGUCUCCCAUCUGAGGAGCUGAUGUCCCAUGAGGAGGCCAGGCAGGAAGUGAGCAAACGCAUAAAGCACACAGCGUGUGACGUAAGUUCUGUCAUAAAGCGACUAAGGAGAACUAGGGAGAGAUGGGCCGGGUGAGCAGGGAGGGGUCCCCUGGAAGCGGUGAGCCCCAGUGAAAGGUUCAGUCCUGCCGUCAGCCAAGGCCAGCACAGGGUCUUGAAAGCCAGGCUGAGGGUUAGUGGGGAGGUGAGAGGCCGGCACGCGUGUGCUGGGGGUUAGUGGGGAGGUGAGAGGCCGGCACGCGUGUGCUGGGGGUUAGUGGGGAGGUGAGAGGCCGGCACGCGUGUGCUGGGGGUUAGUGGGGAGGUGAGAGGCCGGCACGCGUGUGCUGGGGGUUAGUGGGGAGGUGAGAGGCCGGCACGCGUGUGCUGGGGGUUAGUGGGGAGGUGAGAGGUCGGCACGCGUGUGCUGGGGGUUAGUGGGGAGGUGAGAGGCCGGCACGCGUGUGCUGGGGGUUAGUGGGGAGGUGAGAGGCCGGCACGCGUGUGCUGGGGGUUAGUGGGGAGGUGAGAGGCCGGCACGCGUGUGCUGGGGGUUAGUGGGGAGGUGAGAGGCCGGCACGCGUGUGCUGGGGGUUAGUGGGGAGGUGAGAGGCUGGCACGCGUGUGCUGAGCACGGGCUCAUCGUGUGCUCCGGAGAUUUGGUUGGCACUGCCUGUCCGAGAGCCCGGCCCGUGUUUGACAAGCGCGUUCCUCUCCUGGUGUCACAGGGAAGGUAGGCAGUGUGUUCCGGCUCAGUGUGGAGGCAGUGAGCAGGGGCGAGAUGGGCGGCGUUUUUGGAGUGGAGCCGGGAGCGGGGUGAGAAGGUGCUCCCAGGGCCGAGGGCCUCUGCAGCUGGCCGUGCAGUCACGCGGGGCUCCUGGGAGCUCGAGGUGCCCGUUAGAUGCAAGUGCAGAUUCCCUGUGGACCACAGAUGCAUCACAGUUCCAAGAGAGCUCUGGGACAUCCAGCCCACAGGUGGCCAGACAGCCCUGGGGCAGGUCAGGUUCGGUCCUGAAGGGCUGUUCUGUGCCAGGCACGGUGUCCAGGCGCAGUCCUGUGCGGGAGCCCCUGAGGAAGCAGGGGAACCACCCCGGAGAAAAGUCCUCAGAGACGCACCCUCCCGCACGCGGGGUUCAGAGAGGGCUUCCUGGAAGAGGUGGUCCCUGAGCCGCGCCUUGCUUAGUCGACGCCGUUUGUUAGCUUUUCCCCCCUGGAAGCCGCAGCGUGCUGUGCACGGCAGCUGUCCCGCAGGAGCCUGUGGGAGGGUGGGGUUGUGUCCCUGCCCCGGCCAGGCCGGGCUCCCCCCCCCGGAACCCUGGGUCUCGGCAGAGGCUGCCCUCCUCUCCCCGGCCGUGGAGCCGGCGAGGCCUCUAACUCUCCUGUGUUUGAUCCGUGCUUAAAUGAGAUCCUCAUGGCGUGGCCGCUGCCAGCAGCGCCGUUUGAAACCUGUUAGCUGAAACAAAAGCCCCCUCGGAGGGAAAGGGGAGGCCUGGCUCUGAAAUCGAAGCGUUCCUGUCCAUCUGUCUUUUUUCACAUGGCCUCCGUUUAAGCUCUGCAAUGUGUUCUGAGUGCCCCCUCCACGGGGAGCAUUCUGGGUAAUGUUAUGAUUUUUCCCCCAGCUGCAAUUACCACGGCUCCAGGACUAACGGCGUCUGAGAGCCAGGAGAAAUGUGGCUUCCAGGCUCCUGGAGGAUUCCAGGCCCCGGCUGCGGGAGAGCUGGGCUCCGGUGCCGGGUCAGCUCGGCCUCCACUUGAAAGCUGGCGGGGGGCAGGGCUUCCGGGAAGGCGCGGGCCCGUCUCUGAGUGUGCUGAGGGGCGUGGAGCUCACUCCCUCGGAGGAGGAGCCCAGCCUGGCUGACAGGGCUGGUGACAGCCCCCUUCGCCACACCUGUCUCUGGGUCAGUUGAUGUCCUCAGCCCGCUGGCGUCUCUGGCAGAACGGAAAGCUGCACCAUGUCUGAGGGCUGGGGGACCAGCAGUGGAAUCCGUGUGGGUACCACCUCCCCCCACCAAGCAGGGCGGUCACUGAAGCCUGGCUCUGUGCCGGGUGCUGGGCCGUCGGGGCCAUGGCAGCCGGGCUGUGUUCUCACCAAGGUUCCUGUGGGCCAGGGCGAGGGAAGGGUGAGAAGGUCGCCUCUGUGUGGGAGGGAGGAGGGCGGGAGCGCAUUCAUCCUCUAAUGAGUGUUUUAAAUGAGCCUGCGUCUGAGUGCCGGGCACUGAGUGACCAGUGAAGAACGAGACCAGGGGCACCUCCUUCCGCGGAGACUGCCACGCUGGCGGUCCAGACCAAGCCACAGCAGAGUAGGACGUCGUCCUGGUCGCUGCAGACCACUGGGCACGCUCGGUUGCAUGUGUGCUUGCAGGAGGCAGGUGUGCUCGUGGGCCCUUCAUCCUCUCAGUUCUGCCAGGCAGCGCUGUUGAGAAGGCGAGCAAGACAGGAGCUGGCACAGCAGCCUUGCCCGGAGCAGAGAGGCCUCUCGGGAGAAGGAGGCACCCGCGGGGGCGUCACCUUGUCUUCCAGGCCGUCUGGGCUCCCAGCUGGUUCCUGCGUGACCACUAGAGCUCACACUGGUGCGGGGCAGCACGGAGUGUUUCUCCCCAUUCUCGCAAAGGCUCCACCAGCUGGGGGUGGCGAGUGGGGCAGGAAGGAGGGCUUGCAAAGGCUCCUUCUGCCUUGGGGUGAUCAGGAGCAGCUGUGGCAGGGAGACCCCCUCCCCGCCUUGCCCUUGGUGACCCGGCCCCUGAGAAAGCAGGCACCUCUGUCCCGCGGCAGCUCGCAGGAGAGGCGGCCCAGCUCCCUCUGACCCCUAACUCAGCGUGGUUGCCUGGUGGGGUUGGCCCCAGGAAGGAAGCUGUCUGUGCACAGAAUUCGUGAAAGCUGGCUUCAGGAGACGGCCCUUGUCAGAAGCCUCUUUGGCGUCCAGAGUGGCGUGAAGGGGCGUCGUCGGCAGGAGCAGCGGACGGGCAGUGCAGGAUCCUGAUGCUGCGGACACCGAGAGACUCCCAGCCCCAGGCUGUCUGCUUUUCAUUCCUCUCGCCUUUUUAACCGGGUCCUUCCCUGAGCCCCUGCUGGAGUCACCAAGGGCGUCUUCUCCUCACCCGCUUCCCACACGCUGUAAGGAGGUCUUCGCAGAGCCGGCGGCAGUCAGCGAGGGAAAUACAAAGGAGUCGGAGAAGGCAGAGGGAGGAGCUGGCCUUGGCGGCCCAGUGCCUGCCCGCGGGCGCGCCAUCGGCCCUCCCCUUCACUCCCACAGCAGCCUCUGCUCACCGCGCGCUCGAGGCUCAGCCAGUGGAGACGCUGGCCGAGGGUGCACAGCUGUGGGGGCUGGGCUGCACACCCCUGCUCUGCCCCUGCUCGCAGGCCCUGCCUCCAUGGAACCAUUCCCAUGACCUCCUCUUCCCCCCAC